UACGUAGGGUGCGAGCGUUAAUCGGAAUUACUGGGCGUAAAGCGUGCGCAGGCGGUUUUGUAAGCCGGAUGUGAAAUCCCCGGGCUUAACCUGGGAAUGGCAUUCGGGACUGCAAGGCUGGAGUGCGGCAGAGGAGACUGGAAUUCCUGGUGUAGCAGUGAAAUGCGUAGAUAUCAGGAGGAACACCGGUGGCGAAGGCGGAUCUCUGGGCCUUGCCUGACGCUCAGGCACGAAAGCUAGGGGAGCGAACAGG
rnacentral:rRNA from 1 species